rnacentral:rRNA from 1 species
GACGAACCGAGCGAACGUUGUUCGGAAUCACUGGGCUUAAAGGGCGCGUAGGCGGGCUGUCAAGUUUGGGUGAAAUCCCGCGGCUCAACCGUGGAACUGCCUCAAUACUGACGGUCUCGAGGGGGGUAGGGGCGUGCGGAACUGGUGGGUGGAGCGGUGAAAUGCGUUGAUAAUCCACAGGAACUCCGGUGGCGAAGGCGGCACGCUGGACCCUCCCGACGCUGACGGCGCGAAAGC